GUUAGCCUAAAUAAGAAUUAAGUUGAUUCAUCUUAAAGAGGGAUAUAUAAGGUUUUUCUUAAGACACAAACAUCAUAAGUUCAUGUUUUAAGAAAAACUAGAGAGAAGUUAGAGAGAAGGUUUUUGGAACCUAAAGCUUACUUCUCCCUCUUUUCUACUAAAAAAUCCUUUCUUCUUUCUUUCCUACAUUUGACCCAAGGUGAUUAUUUGGAGAUUGAGCUAUUUGAAGUAAGAAUCUUGAGUUGGAGUCAUAUGGAGUCUUCUUCUUCUUCUUCUCCUCUUCUCGGUUAAUCGACUAGAGGUUCUAUUUUCACCUUCAGUGUCUCCAGUCUAGCAAAGCAAGGAGGUUGAUUUUUCAUUGUAGCAAGAUUUGAUAGAAUCUACACAAUUAGAGUGAAUUGGAGACAUUUUAGUGGAUAUUGUGAAAUGCAAGAUGGAUAAAUAUAUCCAAAACUAUUGAAAUAAGAAUGCAAACGCCAUAUGAGCAUUAUUAUGAACAUAAAAAAGAGGAGAAAACAAACUAAAGUAACUUACUUUCAACAUCAUCUGAAGGAUAUAUGAAGAGAGAGUCAAUAUCUUCACAUUAGUGAGCAGCUGCAGCCAACUCACAAUGACCGAGUAAUACAUACCAAAACUGAUGUCAAUUUUCACUUCUUCAAGAAAUGAAAGAUUGCACAUGAAGGAGAGUCUGUGACUACUCAAACAACUUGUGACAGUGAGAGAUGUAAGAUUUGGAGUAGAAAGCGCGAUUUCGUACUUUUCUUCUCCAAAGAUUUUCAGCUUCAAACUGGAAAGGCUAGAAUUAGAUAUGCAGAGGACUUUUGCAUCAUUGCCCAAAGAACAACCCUUGAGGACCAACCUACUCAACAUGUUACAUGUUGAAAAGGGCUCAGCGCAAUCAUUGUCUUGUGCAGUGAAAUUGACAUUGGUGAGAUACAAUGUUUUUAAUGCUGGCAGAUGCAGAGAUUUUGGGAGUUCCAAAGCAUGGUCAUAAGAAUUAA